AUGGAUCAGGAGCUGAUCGAGCACCUUGAGGCCAAAGUGAGUGCUGAUAGCGUGAGAUCUCACCCUCUCAUCGAUUUGUUCAUACCAACCAUCGACAGCGAGCACGACAUAUGCUACACCCAUCUUGAGAAACUUCCAGGUACACUAAAACCUGUAUUCGACAAUACUACAUGUAUCACACUGAGUGGCCUAAGCAAGCAUUUCUUCCAGUGCAAUUCCAGGGCAUUCAAAAGGGGCACGUGGACGCGUCGCAAGAUACAGUCGGAGUGCGGCAUGCACGCGAUGUGGCACAAGACCGGCAAUACCUUGCCGGUGAUGGUCAAUGGCCGGCAGACGGGCAGCAAAAAGGUUCUGGUGCUGCACACCAACAAGAACUUCGACCACUCCCACAAAAAAAAAGAACUUCGACCAGCAGAGGACCAACUGGGUGAUGCACCAGUACCACCUCGGGGACCUGGAGCAAGAGAAGGAGUGGGAGUUGGUCCUCUGCAAGAUUUUCUACCAGACGAACACUAG
rnacentral:rRNA from 1 species